CAAAAUAAAAUUGAAAUUUCAUCAUUUUUAUUAGCCGCCUGUCUGUCGUCUAGAAUGCCAGGCCAAGACAGAUGCCACAUUAAAAAAAAAACCCCCAUUAAUGAAACACUGAAUUUUCCAAUUGAAUGCGGCGGCACACGAUCAGAUAAAAAUACAUUUUUGAGACAGAGGGAAUGUCAAUGUCAAAAAUUGUGGCGCUGGCUUUCAAGCCAGAGACCAGCCUGGCUGGUGAUGAUCUCUAGCCAAGCUUAAGGAUUCCUUUCCGUUCAGCAAUUUCAAUGCAGUGGGUUCCCCCCCAUCCAGCCUGACAGCCAUCCAGCCUGCCCAGCCUUCAAUGGGGAACCCUUGGAAAAUGUGUCGAAAAUUUACGAUGCCUGUGACACAGUUAACUCAUGCUCUCGACACCGAAAACAUAUAUCAAAUGUGUGGCACGACUUGGAAUGCCAUCCACCGACCACGGACCACGGAAUACGGAGACAGAGGGUUUACCUGCUUUAACCAGAACUCAGUGCCAGAGCCAGAGACCAGAGCCCACAGUCAGAGCCCAGAGCCACAGCACAGACCCCAGACCCAAACAAUAACGUGAAAUAUGUGCGGCGUUUUGCAAUUCAUACGCAAAAAUGGAUGAGGGAGCAACAUCAACGACAAGAAGGACGACCACGACAACGACAACGACUACGACGAUGGCGGCGGCGGCGGCCCAUUUGAAUCGUUCGACCUGCCAAUGGUUCUACAGUAGCCACCACCACAUCACUCCGCACUCCGCAGAGCACUCCACUCCUCUCUCCACUCUGCCAUCAACAGACGCAGGACACAACCGCAUAUGCAACGCGGAUAGUGGGAUACAAUAACACAUUGUCUGAGGCAAAAAUGGGGCGAAAUAAAAAAGUGUGCGACAUUGGCAAGUGGCAGGUCAGAGAGCGGUACAAAAUACAGUGCGUAGCAAAAGACUAAUGCCAUCAAGAUGGCAAUUCUGAACAUCUUUUUGAGAAUUUAGCAAAAGAACAAACAGAUCUGUCAGAGCAAUAAAUCAAUUUUCAACGGAAAAAGGCCUCAGAAAUUAUGAAAUUAAGAUGAUAAUUACAUGCUGGCUAGAUACAAGACCUUUCAAACUUUAAGAGAUAUUUUCUACAAAUUGUUAGAGUUAACAAAUAAAUAAAA